CCACGUUCCCGUUUGUGAGCCAAGCCUUGCUUUUGCACCGGCCGGGCUCUGCCUAGAAAUGCAUACCCGUCUCAAACCUGGGCUUUAAAAUCACCUCCUCUGGGACGCCUUCCUCUACUUCUCACAGUUCAGGGUUACAGGGAUCUGCCCCUCUCGAUUUCCACGUAUUGUUUUCUGGAGGUCUGGUCUGUGAGGUUGGAAGAAGAGACCUGAUGGUGCUUCCCCCAGUAGCUUUCUUCCCCGUGGGGUGGGCAGAACUCUGGAACAGUCCAGACGUCUGGCUUCAUGGCCCAGCUCCACCUUGCGAUUGAGAUAGGGUCUGGCUAUGUUGCCCAGGCUGGCCUCAAACUCCUGAGCUCAAGCAAUACUCCUGCCUCAGCCUCCCAAGUAGCUGGGACAACAGGCCAGCACCACUGUACCUGGCUUUGAUGUAACUUUGUAACUCUGCAAAACUCCUUCCCACAUGUCUUUCCUUGGGUCCUCCCCACACCUUAUGCUGCAGGCAAGACUAGAAUUAUUCAUGUAUCCACAGUUGUGGAAACUGAGGCACAAAGAAAUUAAGCCACUUGCUUGAGAUCACAGUGAAGGAAGAAUUUGGAAGCAAAUUGAAGAUGUAAAACCUGGGCCUCCUGACUUCUAGAUACCACCAUGCGGCAAUUUGGAUCUGAAAGAAAGCACACAGCUUACGCCCGGACAGAGCAGCCGGUGUCUAGCUGUGCCCACUUGCCCCACCCAGCCCCCACCUGUGUGCCACCUGGCAGUCAUAUGCACAUUCAUUACAGGGGAGCUGGCUGACUCACACAUUAUACUGGGGCUGACUCAUGCUUUGCAAGAGGGAGAGUGAGAAUCAGUUGGCCACAGGAGCCCCCGCUUUCCACAUCGAGGCUUGAGAUUCAUGCCUCAAAUCCACGGCAGUUUAGUUCUUUAAAAAAGGAAAGCACUGUGAGCUGGCUGGAGCUGGGGAUCUCUGGACUCAGAGAAGAGUGGUUUGGUUCAACUCUGGGCUCUGUUACAAGUUGACUGGGUGACUUCAGGCAAGUCAUUGUCCCUCAGUCUCUUCGGCUUUGUAACAAAGGGGUUGCAACAGAUAAGUGCCAAGACUUUUCAAGCAUCUGAAAGACUGUUCUUGCUCUGGUUUGAGAAACCUCGUCAUAAUAAUGUUGUAUGUGUUGCUAAUUCACUAUGUGCCAGGAACCCUCAAAGGCUGAGUAUCCCACCCAGUUUACAGAUGAAGCAAAGUGAGGCCCAGAGAAGGGAAACUGCUUGCCCAAGAUCACCCAGCAAGUAAGACACAGAGCUGGAGAUGAGCUCAGGUCAGCACGGAAGCACGCAAACUCCUUCUGCAGGCUUUGUAAAGGACUGAUGAGAAAAGCAGAUGGUUGAGAGCUCUACAACUUCUGUGAGACGGAGUCUUACUCUUUUGCUCAGACCAGAGUGAAGUGGC